GCAGAGGCCGGCGUGACGUUGCACCAGCCUGAGGCGCGCCGUGCGUUCUCCCGGGGGAGCUGUCCCUGAAUCCUGGGACCCAGGCAGUGGCGGGCUGCACAGGCUCCCCGGAAGGGGGGUGUGGAGAGUGACCUGUGAUCGCACACAGGCUUCUGGGUGGCGGCAGCAGCAGCCUUAGCGUCUCCCGCCCGUCUCUGGGGUUCGUGCUUUUAGCCGCGGCUCGCGCCCGUCUCUGGAGCUCCUUUAAGCAGAGCUGUUAAUCCCCUCUCCUCGCGCACCAGGAAACAAAGAGGGAAGAAAAAGUCUCUUGCCUCUUAGGCACGUUCAGACUUUUCCCCGGACUCCCUCCCGGCUAGCCGUGGUGCACCAACCCCCUGCAGGCUGUGUUCACGCCGCCAACCCCAGUCCUCUCCCGGCGCUCCGACCGAAGCCCGAGCCUCAACUCCAGGCCCCGCCCGCCCCGGCAGGUGAGCAAACAAGCCUCUCGGCCUGGUGAGUGCCGGUCGGCCCUGAUCCUCUGUGCGGGAAUCUCUCCGCUUUGCCCUCCGCACCCCUGUUGCUGUGGUCUCCUCCGCGGCUACAAAGCUUUUCCCCUCCGCCACCCGCAGUCUCCGCCCGCGAAGGGGCUUUCUCGUGUGUAGAAACCUUUCCUCCUUCACAGCUCCCUCCCACUGGUGUAGGUACUGAAAAAAACAUUAUUGACAUAUCUAACAAUAAUUUUGGAUUCAUCUAUAUCUCCCUUUCGUUCCAUCAAUAUUCACUUCAUAUAUUUUGGGGCUCUGUUAUUAGAUUCCGCAAAAACAAAAGAAGAAAAAAUAAGCUGACAUGGUCAAAUGCCUGGUCACUACUCAGUUCAACCGAACUUCUUCUGGCCAUUCUUUAAGGUCAGCCACGGGACUCCAACAGAUCUUCGCUGGUGCUCCUUGAAGGGGUGGAAGGAAUGGCAUCAGGUGUGUCACCUGUCCUGAAUCUCGAGGAAAAUGAUGCCAAGUUUUUAGCUUUGCUACACUCACAUUGAAGAUUCUAAUUGCAAAAUGAGUCAUGGUUGCAGUGAUCCUGUUGGAGAUAUAAACUGAAUGGACCUUCUGAGUGACUUUCAUGCCUACCUCGUCAGCAGGUCCCGGCAUACGGCUGAUAGUUGGAAUGUGAUGUCACAACUGGAAGAAGGUAAGGUGUCUGUACUUUCACUGCCUGUAACUCCAGAGUCAGCCUAAGAGGGGAAUACAUGCACUAUGAGCCUUGGGAGAAAUAAAAUUUGCUUUUCUUUGGAAAAUGUUGGGAAACUUGUCUUAAAUUUUUUACAUGGAGCUAUAAUAAAAUGAUGACCUUGGGAUACUGUAAGAUGGCUAUUACAUUUUUGCAUUUCACAAGGGAAUGUCCUUUUUCAAAGUAGAAUAGAAAGACUUUCAGAGGUUGUAUUAGUUUGAGUUUCAUCAAACGCAGAUCCUGAAAGAAAGCUUCGGGGGUAAAUACUUUGGAAGGUGAUCCCAAAGGUGCUGUUUUGUGGUAGAGAAGUAAGGCAGGGACGGAAUGGGGCCAAUCAAAUAUAUUUUAAAGAGCACAUCAUGGCCAUGGGCAAUGGGGGCUUAAGUGCAAUGGGGACCCUCAUAAAAACUGUGGAACACACCUCAGAACUCCCCUGUGGUGGGGUGAGGAACCUGGAAGGCUUGUCCACCAAUUCCUGCCUCUCUUCGUUUGAGGGUUACUUCUGUGGUGCUAACAUCUUAUUUCUGGCCUCCCCCAGGUGUGAGCCAAGUGCAUUCCUGUCACCAGCAAAAUCAUUCUGGGAAGUAGAUGCAUGGGGCCAUGGUGUAUAAAAGAGCUGUGUGCAGGUUAGCGCCGGCUUGGAGUGAAGGGAUGUGGGUAGGGCACCAACAGGUGUGUAUUGCUAUCUAUCAAGGAGAGAGAAUACCUAUGAAGUCAUAAUCCUAUACAUCCAUUGUAUAGAUUAGGGCUCAAUCAGGAAGACAGAACCACUAUGCAUUAUACGGAACAUGGUACUGUUGGGGUGAGGACAAACGGGAACCUGUCACCACUUGCAAUCUCUACAGCAAAGGUGACUCACAGAAGAAGCUGGUGCUCUUUGCCUAAGAGCAGCACCCAAGUCUGGCUCCAGACUAGAGAAGCUAAAGGAGGAGAGGAAGCAGCAGUACAGGUUGCCGUGGGCACAACUGCUGGAUCCCACCAACGAUGUGGCCAGGAGAUCAGCAACCACGUGCACACAGUGCAACCAUGCCCAGUGCCCUGUAUCAACCUUCAGAAGAAAGUGACUACUGCUUGUCUUCUGACUUCCAAAUCGCACAAACAUCUCUCUUCUUACCCCAAACAAUAAAGAGAAGAGAUUUCUUAGCAUUCCACCAAGUUCACAGGCUGCAAAGCCAUCACACCCAUGUUCUGUUAGUUAAAUUCUAUUUCCUGGGAAGGCCAAGGGAAGUGUACACAUACAUUCAUAAAAUCUAGGGGACGAAGAAAUUUGACAGUUCCUGAUUUUUUUCUUAGCUCUAAAAUUUAAAAGCUUUUAGAAGUUUAGAGAUACUUGACUAAAGUAGUCCUCUGAAUUAAUCUUUAUUUUAACAAAGAAAGUUAUUUAAUUUCUCAUGGUGUUGGAUAAUCGAGGUUUUAUUUGAUUAGGUGUAGUGUGUGUGAAGGGAAAGGGGAUGUCUAUUUGUGUGGUUCAUCAAGGCAUGAACUUCACAUUUCCUUUGAAUUCCCCCCCUUAACACACCCUCAAAAAAUCAGGUGCUCUCAUUGUGUGAGCUUGAACUAGUCACCACAGAAAGUAACUGGAAGCGUUUCAUGAACCAUGUUGGACCUUUAAGGGUGGACAAACUGAGGCGCUCAGAGUAAGAAGUCACUUGGGGCCUUCCAGAUGAGCUCACGUUGGAUGAGGACAUGUCCAAGGCACGAUGGGAGCUGAUCCUGAAUCGUGAUGAAUGACGCGCAGUUAUAAAAAGGAUUUCUGGAGGUUCACUUUCUGUAAUGCAAGUGCCAGAGCAUGGUUAUAGCAUAUUUCCUCUGUUGUUCUAAGAUUAUUACUGAAUAAAAUACAGAUUACCAGGAUCUUAGUUCCCUGACCAGGCAUGGAACCCGCAGCCCCUGCAGUGGAAGUGCAGAGUCUUAACCAUUGGACCGCCAGGGAAGUCCCUAUAAGCUAACUUUUGGAUGGUGCAAAUGAUGACAUUUGAAGAGAAGUAUUAAUGGCAAAACACUGUGAAGCUGCAAUACUGCUGGAAUGGGAUGGGCAACAGCUAAAAACGGAGGAGUGGUGGGGAUGUCUGGGCAGCCCUGUGGCUGAACAACACUCCUGUCCUAUCAUAAGGUAAGGAGUCCCAAAUUAUUUAUCCCACUUGGCUUUGCCCUUGGCUGUCAGGAACUAUCUUUUUACUACAUUUCUAGUAUAAUUAUUUCCUCUUCUGUCUUAUAAGUUUUUUUUGUAUUCUUGUGCUUUUAUUAUAUAUUUGUUUUUCAUUACAAAUGAUCUCCAAUUCUUUCAAGGGGUGUCAAUAAAUCUAACACUCACUAACAUUUAUUAAAAUUAUACUAAGUGUUUACGUGUUAAAUGUUGACGUGUGUUACAGUUCUAUGAGGAAGAUAAUAGUUCACAGUUGGGGGGAUGUAGACUUAGAAAGGAUACAUGGCUUGCCCAAGGCUCAGAGUUUCUGUAAGUGGCUGAGCCAGGACUAACAUCCGGGUUCAUCUGUCACCGAAGUUGGCAGUGCUGUUAGUGGCAGAGGAUUGCUACCUGGAACUUCCUCAGAUAUUAUCUCCUGAAGUAUCCAUUGAAAAUACUCAACUUCAAAAAGAGAUAAACAACCUAUCUCUUUGGAAAGAGGUCAACUUGCUGGAUUCUAUCAGCUGCAUGGAAAUGCACAGAGCAGUGUUUUACUCCCACACACUGAGUUACAGUUAUUUGGCUGUUCCUUUUAAGUUAUUAUUACAAAGAAAAGGUUCAAAUUAAUGAUGCAGAUCAUGUUCCUUGACCCUUUCUUUAUCAGCAUAGAUUUCCAUCCCGAGUUAAGACAAUCCUCUAGCACCUGCACUAAUGUUAAUUCGUGGAACAUGCCUCUUGCAUAGCAAAAGCCCCAUCCAUUUUCCAUUCUAAUGGAUCCUCCUACAAUAUAACAGCAUAAGCUCAUAUUUACCCCAAGCCAUUGUCUGUGUCCAGCUGAUCAUUCAUUUACUGAAGCCUUUUGAAUGUGCUUAUGCAAGAGAAGGCAGGCAGACAAUACUCUCUAUUUCUUUAGCACACGUGCUUUUGUGGGCACAAUUCUUACUUUGAUAAAUUACAAUGAUGGUUUUGCCAGAUGGAAUAUGGACUCCCCAAGGAAAUGUGAGGACUGCUGAGGACUCUGCAAAGGCAGCAAAACUUGUUCUACUUGGAACUGGAGGUGAUAGUCAAAAGUCAAAUAGAGGUUGUACCAACAACCAUUUACACUUAUAAAGCCCCCUUUACAAAGGAGUCCCAAGACACAGUGCAUUUAGACUUUUUAAAAUGUCAGUGGUUAAGGACAACAGAGAGCAGCAGCAAACAUAACCUUUAGUGUAGCCCUAAAUGCUGACAGGGAGGAAGAGGUUGUGUUCUUUUUAUAGGAAGCGCAUUACACUCUCUGCAUUGUCUUAAACCCACCAUUGUUCCACAUGUGAAACUUCCAUCAGAUGCCAAUGAGUUUUGUGCUGCUGUGUGAUGGCGGGAUGUGAUCCUAACUCCGAACUUGCAAGCAUUUGGCUACAUAAAAUAAAAGUACUAUAAGGCAGGUCUACUUUUUAGGGACUAAGAAUUAUGGCUGGUCACUCACUGUUCUUUUAAAACAAGAUACAGUAUAGGUAUUUUACAUUCAUACUAGAGCAAUCUUUCUAAUACUUAAGCAUGCAUUUCUAUUUUGAUUCUUUGUCAAACAAAUUGUUGCACUUUUUUAUUCCAAGCGAAUGAUACUAAUAAUUAACAAUGCCCAUGUGGGUGUCAAGGAGCUUUCCUGUACUGUAUAUGUAUAAAAAUUUGCCUUUUUUAGACACAAUAGUACAGUACAUUGAAGAUCAGUGUAGUUACAUUCUAAAAUUUCAGAUACGUAACCUACUUUAUGGUUUCUUUAGGAAAAAGCUGCCGUUUUCUAAACAAUGCAGCCCACAAAAUUUAUUAAAUAAAAUCUAUAGUUUUUUUUUUUUUAAUCUAUAGUUUUCUAUCACAUUUUUAUUCAGCUGACUGGUUCUACUAAGUCACUGUAGGAUAUAAAUAUUUUCUGUCUGUACUUUUCUAAUCUCCCAAAGGAUGAGAUGAGGAAAUAGUUGGCAAAUCAAGCAGGGAUCAGCAAGCAGUUUAAGUAAGUUUUCAUAUUAUUAAUUCAUAUUGCUUCAUAUUAUCAAUUACUUCACAAAUAUUACUCCCCCCACCCUUUCUGAUAGGUGAAUGAAAAAAUCAGAUACUUUUGGGGUGAAUUUAUCAACUGUCAUAAUUUAUCUUAUAGGGUUUCCUUUGAUUUAUCAUUAUAAUUCAUUUUUUAGCCUUUAGUGAAAGUGGAUGAAUUUUAUCUCUAAAUAUAAAUGAGAACUAAUUGACAAUAGUUUCUAAAUUACUCCAAAUCCAUCAUGAACCUGACUCUUGAAACAUGAACAUUCUUUUCAUGGAUUACGGAUCUUAAAAUUUUAUCAUAAAAUACAUAAAUUUUAGCGAUGGGGAAGGUAUGCUAUAUUCUAUAUCUCAAGUAUGGACUUUUGUGGGUGAGGAUCUAAAAUAGUAGAAAUUCACAUUUUAUCUUUUUCUCUCAGUUGGCUGCGGGACUCUGCUUUAGGCUUGCAAGUCUACAAGUUGGCUAGGGAAGUGUCAUGCUAUAAGUCUGAUUUGGAUAUUCUUUACCUUGAAGCUCAGGCAGAAAGAAUGUUGGCUACCUGAUGUAUGUUCUCAUAGAAAUGGCAGAAGCCCAAUAGAGAAACCCAUAUGUAUAAUCGCAUUCCAGGCCUCUGUUUCUGUCAUGUCAUUAACUUUUCAUUUACCAAAACAAGUCAAAUGGCUAAGCCCAAAGUCAUGGGGUAGAAAAGUAUAUACUGCCUUUCAUGAGAACAUUGCAAAUGUGUGAAUAUAUCAUACUAGUACAAGGGAGUGACAGUUGUGGGCACUUUAUCUAUUUCUGCUUAAACCAGCUAUAGUGGAUUUUGUUAUCUACAAGUAGUAAUAUCGCAACCUCAGUGAGGUACACAGUAUUAUUACCAUUAUUUUAUACAGGAAUAUGCUGUGGUAGAGAGAGAAUCAGUAACUCGCCUAAGGUCACAUGGCUAAUAAAUGGCAGAGCUAGAAUUCACACCGUGUAGUCCGGAUACAGAGUCCUGAAUAACCUCCUGUAUGGAUGUGGCACCUUGACACAACAGUUUCUGUCAUGAGUAUUACACAAAAACAAAAGAUAGUAAUAAAGAUAAUAAAACUUCUCCAUCUUCACCAUAACUAGGAGAUGGAAUAUCAUAUUAUGUUAUAUUUUACUAUAUUAUGCUGUAAUAGACAAUAUUAAAAUGCACAAGUUUACCAAAAGUAAUCAAAAUUAGUACAGAAAUUACAGGAGCGAAGUGCUUCUGAAAUCAUGUUCGAAGAAGUAAAAUUGAGAUGAUCCGAUGAUGGCAGACUUCAAGAAAAAUCAGGAAAAAUAUAUUUCCUAUAAGUGAGAGGAAGCAUCACUUUCAAGUGAUAAGCCAAUAUCACUUGCAUACAACAAAAUCUGCACAACCUGCAGAGAAUCACAAGGAAAUGGAGCAGAAGGUACAUGGGGGAGAAAGCUCAGAGAAUAAUGAGGUGGCAGGUCUAAGAAAAUUAGCAUUAAACUGGGUCUAGAUUUAUAAAAAGAUGUCAUCGUGUUGAUUCACAGAUACCUGAGGGAAGUAGGUGGGAAAGGACAGCACAACUUUCCCCUAAGGAACACCCACUACAAAAGGUUGCUGUGGUCAGAUUAAAGGACUAAGAUUUUGCCAUUUAACAAAAAACCUUUAAAAGGGGGCUAAAAAAUGAAGAAACAGUGUAAAGCAGAAACACAAUAACUCAAAGAAAAGAUGGUGAGAAAAUAAGGAGAGUUGAAACAUGACCUGGCAGAACUUAGGAAAAAUGCAAUAGAAUAAAAAUUACUGGUAGAAAUACAGACAAGAAAUAGAAACCCAAAAGAGCACAUACAGGGUAGUAGGUACAGACAGAGACCUAAAGGCUCGCCCAAGAAUAGUGGUCAAAAUAAAAUGGAAAAUUAUUAAAAAAGAUUAGGGAUAAUACUCAAAAUGUAGUUUAAGUCAAAGGAGGUGCAACAUAUACACAACUGGAGUCUGAAAAAGAAAAACAAGAACAAUGGAGUGGAACAAAUAUUUAAAGAUAUAAUUAAAACAGAUUUAAAAAAAUACAAGUCUCCCUCUAUAGAUAUUUAAAGACACACUGCAUGCCAAAGGAAAGAACACCAGACUAAUCAAUACUGAGAUGUAGCCUAACAAAGUUUUGAUCUUUAAAAGAGAGGAAAGAAACCUCUGUACAACCAGAUUAUAGGGGAAGGUAUUAUCCUGGUUUCAAAUUUGUCUACAGUAACAUUUGAUGCUAGACAUGAGAAAAAGUACAAAAUCAUAAAAAUAUAUUGUCUCAGUAAUUAGUAGAAAGUAAAAAGAGGAAUAAAAUAGAAUGUCUAGAAAUGACACCAAAUACAUAGUGAAUGUAGGAAAUAAGACAAAAUGGCAUCACAAACCAAUGGGCACAAAUAGUUUCUUCAACAUAAGAUGUUGUGACCUCUGAGUGGUCACCUGAAAAAAAUAAAAUUGAAUCUAUACUUUAUAUUUUUCACUAGGAUAAAUUUUAAAUAAACUAAAAAAUGUGAGAAAUAAAACCAUAAAAGUUAUAGAAGAAAACAUGGAAUAAGUCCUUGAAAAUCAAGUGAAAAAGUCUUUCUAACCAUAACUCAUAAUUCAGAAGCUAUAACAGAAAAGAUUGAUAAAGUUGCAUAAAAAUAAAAGAUGUUGUGCAUGGUUAAAAAGGAAUAUAAAGGGAGCCAAAAGACCAAUGACCAACAGGAAAAAUAUUUUUUCAACUUAUAUAAUAGACAAAGAGCAUAUAUAAAAACGUCUCAUUAGUCAACAGAAAAAAGGAAAAUAUAUAGAAGACAGUUUACAAAAAAACCUUAUCAACAUAUGACAAAAAGUCAGUCUCAACCCUAGUAAGGAAAUGCAAAUCAAACUACAAUUAAAAUGUUCUUUUUUUCCCCUAUUGGAAAAAAUAUCUAAGUUUGAUAACCUACUACUGAGACUAAGGAAUCUGACAUUCAUUGCUGAUGAAAGUACUGAUUCAUAAUACUGCAGAGGGCAUUCAUCCCACCUUAAAAUAUUUACAAUUUAAUCCUUUUUUCUUCUUUAGACUUUAUUUCUGAGUAUGGGUUUUAUUCUUAUUUCAUCACUAUCAAAUAUUAAAUUUUGUCAAAUCCUUCUUCAGCCUCUGUUAAGAUCAUGAUGAUUUACUUCUAUACUCAGUUAGCAAAUAAAUUAAUAGAGAUGACCUGAUUAAACCAUUCUUUUUUCUAUCAGUCAGGAUAGAGUCAGGAAAAUGGAUAUUACUCUGGGUAGUUCAAAAGUACAAAUUGAACUUGGGGAACUAGUUAUUUACAGAGGUAUUGGGAGAGCUGAAAGGGAUAACUAGGGCUGGUAAAGUGCACAGAGGCUGCACUACCAUCCCAUCCCUGGGACUGGAGAGCCAAGCAGAGGGGGUCCUGUUCCAAGGCCUCAGGAGCUCAGGCCAGCAGGAGCUGGGACCUCAGAAGAAGGGCAGCAACUGCUCGAGAUGCCAUCAGAAGUGGUGGGUUUGGAGAACUAACCAUAGGUUUUCUGCAACUUCUGCCCCCCCCCCCCAAUUUUCUUCCAAUAACUUCCAUGGGCCAAACCUAAUCAGAAACCAGUACAACAUGAAAUCAAGGAAAUGGAGUUUGCAUGGUUUAGAACCCUUUCAAACAGCAGAACAGGAAAGGGUAGGAAUGUAUCUGAGAGUAAAAUGGCAGAUGAUCUGUACCUUCAUAUCUGGAGAUAAACUGUCCUGCUUUUAAUACAUUGCUGAAUAUAUUUUGUGUACGUUUUACUUAGGAUUUUGAUUUCUGUAUUUUAUAAAGCCAAAUGAGAUUGGCUUUAUGCUUGUGUGUAUAUGUGUGAGUUGUGAUAAUAGGGUUAUAAUCUAUGAUCUAUAGGCCUUAUAGAACAUAAGAUGAUAUUGUACAUUUUUAUGCUCUGGAAAUAUGGGAAUUAACUUUCUCUUGAUGCAAUUUUAUUAUUUUAUAACUGAUUUGUAUAAAGUUGUUUAAUGAAACUUAAAUUUAAAAAAAUCUCCCCCAAAUCCUUCGUUAUAUCUCCUUUCUCACUUCCAUUGUUUCUUUUUCUAAGUUCGGAUAUUUAUUCUUUUUUUCCUGAUUAAAUUUGCCACAGUUUGGCUUUUGUAUUGUUAUCUUGAAGUUUAAAAAUAAUUCAUUUUGUUAGUAAGUCUGCUAUUUAUUCUUGCCUUUCCACAUAAUUUUCUGCUUUUAUGGUUAUUUAAUUCCUUUGAAUUUAAAGUAUUGUUCAUUUUCUAUCAUCUUGAGUUGAAUGUUUAUUUCAUUUAUUAUCAAUAAAUUUAAUUUUGUCAAUUUAGUAUGCAUUAAGACUUCAUUUUUCUCUGAAUAGUGCUUAGUCCAUAUCCCACGGAUUCUGAUAGGUAAAACUUUCAUUGUCAUUUAUUUCUAAAUAAAAAAAUCUUGUUUUCUUCUCUUUAUAAUGUAAAUUUUUAAAGUUUUGAAAUGUUUACAUGUAUGGAAAAAUAGUGAAAAUGGUAUUAUUAUCUGAUGCUCACAGUAAAGAUUAAGUACUAGUAGAACUCAGAAUUCUGUCAUAUUUUUAUUUCAGUUUUAAUUUUUUAAAGAAGUGAAACAGUAGAUAAAGCCAAAGCUUACCAGUUAUUCUCACCUUUCUCUUGCUAAUAGGAUAGAUGUGCAUCAUUCUGUGUAUUUUUAAUAAUUUUUUGUAUCAAAAAUCAAUAUGCACUGUUGUUUUGUGUCUUAAAUUUCCAAAAUUUUCUCAUAUAGUGAACCUUAUUAUGCAUAGUUUUUUCACCUAAUAUUACCAUUUUAGGUUUAUUAUAUGUGUUGAUAUUCAUGUACCUAGUUUUUUCAUUUAAACUUCCAAAUGGUACCUAAUUGUAUGAGUAAACCAUUGAAUGUUUUACUACAAGACAAUUUGUUUCUAAAUUUGUUUUUACAAAUAGUGUGACAAUAACCAUCCUUUUGUAUGUUUUCUUUUGCAGAUAAACAUUCUCUAAGAUAGUUAUUUAGAAAUAAAAUUGCUUGAUAAUAGGAUAUUUCUAAAUUAAGCUAUACUCAAUAUUGCUAAAUUUUCUUCGAAAAAGUUUUAUCCGUUUACACUUCCACCAGCAACUCCCACUGUCUUAUACUCUCACCAGCAUUUAGUGUUGUCACUUUAAACUUUGCUAAUGUAUUUUUAAUUUCCAUCCAGGUUUUUAGCUCUGGGGGUUGCUUGUUAAUAUCCUUUGUUAAUUUUCCUGUAGGUUCUUUGCAUUUUUCUUAUUGAUUUGUAGGUAUUCUUUUAUCCUCUAUAUUCAAAUGCUUUACUAGUUAUAUUGGUUACAAAUAUCUUUUCUCAUAAAUGACUUUCCCUUCCACUGGUGUCUUUUACCAAAAUCAAGGUUUUAAUUUCAAUGAAGUCCUAUUUAAUGAUUUUUUCUUCAUUGGAUAUGCUUUUGUGUCUUUCUUAAGAAAUCAUUUCCUAUUGUAAUGCCAUCAAACUAUGAUGAAUGGUUCAUAGUUUUACUUUUUAAUAAAAGUAUUUAUUAUUAAAGUGUGUACUUAUUAAAAACACAAUGCAUCCUUCAGUCUUAAUCCUUCUGAGAUAGAAUUCAGUAUAUGGUAUGAGGUAGAGAUCAAAUUUUGUCCUUUUCUGUAUGAACAAUUAAUUGCCUCAUUGACAUUUAUUGAAUGUGGCUUUCUCCACUGAUUUAUAAUGCCAUCUCUGCCACAUAUAAAAAAUAUCAGUUAUAUGUAGAUUGGUUUCUACGCUGUGUUUUUUUUUUACCAAUGGAAUAUUUGUUUAUCUUUGUACUAAUUUCUCCCAGUUUUAAUUACUGUAGCUUUAUAGUAGGUCUUGACAUAUAGUAUAGAAAAUCCUCCAUUUUUGUUCUUGAAAAUUGUCCUGGAUAUUCUUCACCUUUUAUUUUUUCAUACAAAUUUUAAGAUCAGUUUAUCAAUUUUUAUGACAAAUAUUAGUGGUUUGAUUGGAAUUAAUUUAAUUUAUAAGUUAAUCUUGGGAGAAUUUUACAAUCUUGAUGCUUCCCCCAUUUUUCUUUUUAUUUAUAUUUUCUACUGUGACUUUCUAGAAAGUUUCAUAACUUUCACCAUGAAGGUCUUGUUUGUCUUUUGUUACAUUUAUCCCUAAAUAUGUUAUUGUUGCUGUAUAUGUUAUCUGUUAGAAAAUUACAGGGUUUAACUAUCCACUGUGGGAAAGAGGAGAGCAAAGCAAGCCAGUACAGGAGGAAAUGCAGAGUGAAACGAGAUGAAACCUUUUCAACAUGCUUUAGUUUCUGAAAUGAACAUUUGAGAUUCAGAUAUGGACUUGGCAAAUAAGUGUGAGAUCAUGGUUCCAGCAGAUUAGCUACAAUCUCCACUGCCUGAAAAUGCAAAAAUUAAUGGACUUUUAUAUAGAUUCCACAUGUAAUGUAGAAUUAUUGAAGAACAUUAGAGUGGCUUAGCAGUACCUUUGUUCCUGAAGCAUCCCUGAAGGCAUCUAAGAAAAAAUUUGAAAUGCCACCUACAUUUCUUUUAAAGAAUUUGUCAAUCAUGAAUAAAACUAGUAAGAACUUCUGAGACAUGUCAUCUGACGGACCUAUGCAUCCCACAAGUUUUGCUAUACAUGCUGUGUAGCAUUUUCAUUAAAAUUUAGCUAUCAGUGUCUUAAAAUGUCUAUUAGAAUAUAUAUACAUCGUUUUCAAACACUUGUUUUUAAUUACCUGUUUUGUCAUUCAUUUGAAAACUAAUUGUAUUGUGGACAGAAAAUAUAAUUUGAAAAAUAUCACUUCUUUGAAAUUUGUGUAAAUUUGCUCUAUGAUUAAUUUAGAUAAAUGGCUAAAGUAUCCUUGAAAAGAAUGUCUAUUCUUAACUUGUUUAAAUAUGAUAUUUGACGUGUAUUCUUUAUAUCAAGUUUGGCUUUUAUAUCAUUCAAAUCUUUUAUAUUUGUUUCAGUUUAAUAACAAUGAGAGAGGUAUAUUAAAAUCUCACAAUAAUGGUGACCUUUUCAAUUUCUCCUAAUUUUGUUAAUUUUUGCUUUCUGUAAUUUUAAACUCUUCUAUUAGGUUUCUGCGAGUCCAAAAUUAUUAUAUUUCUUCAAUAAAUUGAACUUUUUUUGAACAUUUUUUGUGUCCCAGUUUCCUCAUCUGCAAAAUGGGGGUAAUAAUGUACUUCACCAAGUUCUAAUGAGAACUUGUAGAUUCUUUUGUAUAUCACACCUUCCUUCUGGAAUCUUUUUCCUACUUCCUUUAGAAGUUUCUAUAGAGAAUGCUUUUAUUUUGUUGUCUAAACUUGUUUUUAUUUUAACCUUGAUCUUUAAGGGAAGUUUUGCCAUCUAAGUUGACAGUCAUUUUUCUGUUAUACUUUGAUGAUAUUAUUCUUUUGCCUUAUGGUUUCCAUUGUUUCUACUUAGAAACAGGACAUUUGUCAUUAUUUUAUACGCAAUCUAAUCUUCUGACUACUCUUCAGAACUUCUGCCUUUUGUCUUCUUCCACUUUAUUUUAGUAUAGCUAGAUUUAUUUUUAUUUAUCCUGCUUGAUAUUUAUUGAGCUUAAUGAAUAAUACAUUUUAGUCUUUUAUCAAUUAUAGAAAAUUCUCAGCUAUUUUUCUUUGAAUAUUGCCUUUCUUUAUCUCUCUGUCCUUUGUCUCUAAAUAUGAGUAUACAUUUUAUUAUUUUUUAAUUUAUUUAAUUUAUUUAUUUAUUUUACAUCUUUAUUGGAGUAUAACUGCUUUACAAUGGUGUGUUAGUUUCUGCUUUAUAACAAAGUGAAUCAGUUAUACAUACACAUAUGUUCCCAUAUCUCUUCCCUCUUGUGUCUCCCUCCCUCCCACCCUCUCUAUCCCACCCCUCUAGGUGGUCACAAAGCACCGAGCUGAUCUCCCUGUGCUAUGCGGCUGCUUCCCACUAGCUAUCUAUUUUACAUUCGGUAGUGUAUAUAUGUCCGUGCCACUCUCUCACUUUGUCACAGCUUACCCUUCCCCUUCCCCAUAUCCUCAAGUCCAUUCUCUAGUAAGUCUGUGUCUUUAUUCCUGUCUUACCCCUAGGUUCUUCAUGACAUUUUUUUUUCUUAAAUUCCAUAUAUAUGUGUUAGCAUACGAUAUUCAUCUUUCUCUUUCUGACUUACUUCACUCUGUAUGACAGACUCUAGGUCCAUCCACCUCAUUACAAAUAGCUCAAUUUUGUUUCUUUUUAUGGCUGAGUAAUAUUCCACUGUAUAUAUGUGCCACAUCUUCUUUAUCCAUAAAUAUGAGUAUACAUUUUAGACUCCCUCAUUCUGUAUGACUCUUAUUCUUUCUUUCCUAUUUUCCAUCUGGAUUGUCUAUGCUGCAAUAUGUUGAAUAAUGCCUUCAGAUCUAUCUUCCAGCUCACUAUUUAUCUUUUCAGCAGGAUCUAGAACAGUUUAAAAAUUAGUGGAUGUUUUAAUUUCAAUUUUUAUAUCUAUAAAAUUGAAAAGUGUACAUAAAUUGUACUUUUGAUUAGGUUAUUUUAAUGUUGUAUUUUCAUUUAUAUUUCUACUUUAU